rnacentral:tRNA from 1 species
AGUCCUAUAGUAUAAAGGUUAGUACGCCGGAUUGUCGCUCCGAAGGUACGGGUUCGAUUCCCGUUAGGAUUGUCA